UGGAGACUAAAAUCUGUCUCUUGAUUGGUUUAUUGCCGUUGUGCUGACUAACGAGCCGCCGUUUUUGCUGAAAUGUUAAAGCGGUGUUGUGCGAAAUUCAGCACAGAUUGACAUUGUUGAUAGCCGAGGUUUUAUCUUGAGUUUCAAAACCAACAAUAUUAAUGAGAAGCAUGGCAUCUUUCACUGACCGAGUCGAAGAUGCUUUUACGAGGAAAUAUGGGACUUUUAUGGGUCAACUCUACGGAGAGAUGUUGGAUUGCCUGAAAGUCAAAAGCAUUGUUACCAGCGAUAGUUUGUUGGAUAGUCUCGGUGUUGAUAUUUUCCGAAAUAUCAAUGCCGAAUUUUACAUACUGCAGAGUGCCAAGACAAAGAACACAAAUUUGGUUGCCUUAAGGUUUAGCUCCUCAAGCAACUGCAUUCAAACACAAUCAUUAUGUGCCUUUGAUACUUGGUGGGAAGGGAACUAAAAGAAAGGGAAGUAGUCACUUGUCACAAGCUAAAAAGCCCAGUAUACAAACAAAGUUGAGGUUUACACCUUCUGGUCCUACGGAGACAACCAUGACAACUAAGGCUCAUCCAUAUGGUAUAUAUCACAGGUAAAUUUCCCAGGUUUUGAGAACAUAAAAGUAUUGUUAAAGAUCUUUAGUACUAUUCCAGUCACUUGUGAGUGUGAGAGAUCGUUCUCUGCUUUGCGAAGAUUAAAGAUCGAUACAAGAAGUACUAUGGCUGCUGACAGGUUAAGUGGUCUUGCUUUAUUGUAUAUUCAUCAGGACAUUAAUCCAGAUAUAGAAAAUAUUAUAGAUCUUUUUGCAAAAGACAAAAGAAGAAUUGAACUAGCUUUCUAGUAAGGAGUGAAAGUUUUUGAUGCCUUUUUUAAACUCUUGACUGUAAAGAUGACUGCUGCUAACCUCAGUCAAUAUAAACACAAACAAUCGUUCUCAGGACUUUACUUACCUGGACGAUUGACAUCUACAAACAUUUUAUGUUGGCAACUUCAUUUGAUAAAUUGACAUAAAAUCGUUUGCAUAAUAAUCAACAUAUAGGUAUGACUAGACCAUUAUAAAAUGAAAUUCCAUAUAAAAGUUGA